rnacentral:rRNA from 1 species
AAUAUUGCACAAUGGAGGAAAGUCUGAUGCAGCGACGCCUCGCGCGUGAUGAAGGCUUUCGAUUCGUAACACUCUGUCCUAGGGGACGAUAAUGACGGUACCCUAGGCGGAAGUCCCGGCUAACUACGUGCCCGCAGCCGCGGUAAUACCUAGGGGGCGAGCGUUGUCCGGAAUUAUUUGGCGUAAAGGGUUCGCAGGCGGCCGUUGAAGUCAGAUGUGAAAGAUCACGGCUCAACCGUGGUAAGCAUUUGAAACUGGAAGGCUUGAGUUAAGGAGAGGAAAGUGGAAUUCCUAGUGUAGCGGUGAAAUGCGUAGAUAUUAGGAGGAAUAACAGUGGCGAAGGCGACUUUCUGGACUUAUACUGACGCUGAGGAACGAAAGCGUGGGGAGCAAACA